GAAACGUUGUAAUUUCCAAUUACAUUUACUCAUGGAAACGAAUAAGGGAACACAUGAAAGUACAAGUGUUCCAUUAUUCUUUUCCAGGUUUCUUCACAAGGUAUGUAUUGCGCUGUGAGUGAAAUUCUUGAAAUAUAAAACUUUAGGAACACU